GCAAGAUCCUGUUGGGCGACAGAAGAAAUCUGUUUGGGAGCCUGACAGUGAUGGCUGAAGGAAGAAGAUUGAGCUGACUGGAGCUGACUAAUACACAUUUCUAGGAUCAUUAAUUCUCUCAAGACUCAAAAGGCUAAUAAUGAUUGCUGUGGAAAAAUACUACUUUCCCAAAAGUGCCUAUGGAUUUACAGAUCAUCCUGAAGACAGAAGCAGAAAUAUGUGGGCUACAAUAUGAAGUAAGGAAAUAAAUCUUAAGUAUUUUUGAUUUUUUCAGAAAAAUAAAAAGUACUAAAAAGUAAUGUGACUUAUUGAAUGCAGCUAUUUACAGCUGGUUGAAUGGACUUAUUGAUCAUUGCUUGAUGGAGCCCAGGGCUUAAAGUUAUGUAGCCAAUUUGAGCAACCUAUUUUAUGACUACAACUGUUUGUAUCCCCAAAUUUCCUUCUUUUUUUUUUUUUUUGUUUUGUUUUGAGACAGGGUCUCACUCUCUCUCCCAGGCUGUAGUGCAGUGGUGUGACCUCAGCUCACCGCAACCUCCGCCUCCUGGGCUCAAGUGAUUCUUCUGCCUCAGCCUCCCAAGUAGCGGAACCACAGGUGCCUGCCACCACACCAGCAUGAUUAUAAGCUUCCUGAUGCGUCCCCAGAAGCCGAGCAGAUGCUAGCCCCAAGAUUCCUGUAAAGCCUGCAGAACCAUGAGCCAAUUAAACCUCUUUUCUUUAUAAAUUACC
rnacentral:lncRNA from 10 species